CAGUCGCCGCGGUAAUACGGAGGGUGCAAGCGUUAAUCGGAAUUACUGGGCGUAAAGCGUGCGUAGGCGGUUCGUUAAGUCUGUUGUGAAAGCCCCGGGCUCAACCUGGGAAUGGCAAUGGAUACUGGCGAGCUAGAGUGUGUCAGAGGAUGGUGGAAUUCCCGGUGUAGCGGUGAAAUGCGUAGAGAUCGGGAGGAACAUCAGUGGCGAAGGCGGCCAUCUGGGACAACACUGACGCUGAGGCACGAAAGCGUGGGGAGCAAACAGGAUUAGAUACCCCUGUAGUCCCUGUCUCUUAUAC
rnacentral:rRNA from 1 species